UAUGGCCAUACCACCCUGAACGUGAGUGAUCUCACUUGAUCCUGUAAUCUAAGAAGGGUCUGGGCCUGGCUAGUGCUUGGAUGGGAGAAUACAGGGAGAGACUAUAA
rnacentral:rRNA from 1 species